GAAAUAGAUAGUGAUAAGACCUGGCCAAAUGGGGUGAGGAAACAAGUUGCAACCCACAUAUCUGGCAUUCAGUAGAUUGAGGUAGAGCUCUCUGCUGCUCUUUGAGGAAAACCCAUUUUGAUCAAAUUGGCAAUUGCAAAUUCUGCAAUUGCAGGAGGUGGAGGUGCAUGCUCUAAUAUCAACUCCUUAAAGUGAGACUGCUUGUUCAUAAGACCAUCUCAAUAAAACUCAUAAUGAAAAACGUACUUCUACUAGCAGGUGUUACUACAGGUUCUAAUUGAGCAACUUCAGUGAAUUUUAAGCAUACAA